rnacentral:misc_RNA from 1 species
GUGAAGAACGUAGCGAAAUGCGAUAAGUAAUGUGAAUUGCAGAAUUCCGUGAAUCAUCGAAUCUUUGAACGCACAUUGCGCCCCCUGGCAUUCCGGGGGGCAUGCCUGUCCGAGCGUCAUUUCUGCCCUCAAGCACGGCUUGUGUGUUGGGUGUGGUCCCCCCGGGGACCUGCCCGAAAGGCAGCGGCGACGUCCGUCUGGUCCUCGAGCGUAUGGGGCUCUGUCACUCGCUCGGGAAGGACCUGCGGGGGUUGGUCACCACCAUGUUUUACCACGGUUGACCUCGGAUCAGGUAGGAGUUACCCGCUGAACUUAAGCAUAUCAAUAAGCGGAGGA